AGGCAUAAGGCGAGUGCCGCAUGUGUUAAGCCGACAUCUGUCCAAUGAGGCACGAUAACCCUUUAACACAGAGGGAGAAGCUCCCCGGACGUGAGGGCGACAGCGAUGCCACAGCUAGAGGAGGGCACUGGAGAAAGGUAGGGGAGAGGAGAUGAAAGCGCGGCGGGAAAGGCGCAGGACGGGUGAAAAGCCGCUGGGACGGGGAUAGCUGAGGGAAAGGACACCCGCGCGCCGCCGCCCGCUCCCAGCCCCGUCCCCUCCUGGCUCCCUUCACCUGCCGCUCCCCCUGGGCGCCGUACUUGUUCCCGCUCUGCAGGCCCAGCGCCUUCUCUAGUAAGGCCAGCUCCUCCCCUGCCGGCCCCAGCCGCGCGGCGGCCGCCAUCUUUCCCGGAGAAGCACCUGGUCGAAAAGGACCAGCCGCCGCCGCCACCAGCCAACAACCGCUAAUCCCAUUGGAGAACACGCCACCACACCUCCUCAACAACCAUUGUUGCCAUUGGGCUGCAGGACUCAGCCAGCCAAUCAGGCGCUCGGCUCAGUCCACGCUUGCGAGGAGCCAAUCCGCACUGUGAAACCCCGGGAGAAGAGAGGGAGGUUCUGCGGCUCGCCAAGUGCGCAUGCGCAAAGGACGCCCGCGCGCAACGGCGGGCACGCCUCAUUGUGUAGAUUGCGCAUGCGUGGGGGGCAAGAGGGGAAACACUCCCAGGGUGUGACGUCCGCUGCUGGCGAGCGGUGGUUGGGCGCGGGGAUGGAAGGGGAAGGGGUUACGCUGACACAGGGACUUCUGGUCCAAAGCCUUUUUUGCAGGCAAUGACUCAGAGCUGUGUCUGUUCCAGCGGCCAGCAGUUGAUUUCAGUGAAAUGGAAGAUGACUCGUUUGUGUCCAGUCAGUGCAGGGCACUGCAGGGUUUUAAGAGCGUUGUCUUAGUUGCAGAGCAGUGCCGGAUCCAAAGACCGUACAGCUGCAUCGCUGCAGUACUGCAUAAAAGCUAAUUAGCCCAGCCAACAAGGAGAAGAUGCCCGAUCAGUAACGGCUCGAUCAGUAGCAGCUGUUGUUGAGAAUAAGGCUUGUGCUAGAGAAGCUGAUGUGUUAAAGAAGUGCUGUCAGCACCUGAGGCAGGCUGUGAUGGCUUGUCUUCAGCAGUAGACUCCUGUAUUUGCCCUGCAGGAGAUGAUGGCAGCUUGUCGCAAAAUUUUUGUAGCAGAACAUCUUUCUGAUGCUCUGUGCUUGCCCCAGGAUGAAAGAUGCCCUCAAUGUUGCCCUUAACGUGGAGAUCUGGUUGCGAUGCCAGCAUGCACAGCCUUGAAUACAUCAGUGCUCACUGUAGGAUCCUUUGGGAGCUGUAGAGACACAAGGUCAGCUUCAGCCCUCACGUAAACUGGUGUGAUGCCCGCUUGACCCAAAGCUCUGUCAGUGUAAGACAGAGCUGUCAGCUUUCACCUCUCUUGAUGUCCUUGAGGAAAGGAUGGAUUUGAAAGAUGUCACAUCACUAUCAGCUUAUGCUAAUGCCAUAGGUGAGUCUCACGAGGCUCUAAGAGUAAACCACAUUAAAAAAAAUAGUUUUUACAACUUUUUUUUCUCAUUAGCGAUUUUCCUAAGAAUACCACAAGUGGUGAUCAGUGCUUUUUAUUUUUCUUUUUCCCUUUCUUUUUCUUUCUCCCUGAAGCAAAAACUUUUCUUAGGGUUGAGUUGCCAUUAUCAAUGGCAAGAUUUUAAUUAUCAGCGAAUCUUCAGUAUAUGUUUACUCUACAGCAAGACACAUGCCCAUGCAGGUGUCAGCAUAAAUAAAACAAGAAUGUACUGCGAAUAUUAGGGUGUUUGCUUUAUCUGCUGUAAGACGAGAGCAUUUACACAGGAGCAAGGUAGUUCUUAUUUCUUUGCUAAAGAAAUAAAAGGUGCGGAGGAUCCUUCAGUGAGAGGCAACCAUCAAAAGAAAGCUUGCAAAACCCUUUUUCCUGCAAACCCCGCGAGAGAUACUGCACGGAGACAACAGGAGCAAAUGUCAAGACAAAACCAGACAAAUGAAAAUACGGAGCAAAUGAUUCAUCAUAGUUUGAGCUUCCUUUUGUUAUUCAAGUCAUCAGCAGAUUUAUCUGCAGCAAAGCCCAGUGAAGCCAAUAUUGCUAGUGAAAAUGUUCCUUCAUUUUUAUUUUGCUUCUCUUUUCUCAGUCUCUUUCACCUGCAGACAGAAAUGUAAGUAAGCAAGCAUACUCAGAAUAUAAAGCUGUGAUUAAAACAGUACAACGUAUAACUUUUUAAUGUUUCUUUUUUCCAUUAAAGCAACUUUCUUAAAGCUAAAAUAUGUUUGGAGUGAAUGUUAUAGUCAUAUGCAGCUCGUAGCUCUGCCUUUGCGAGAAGAAAUUUACAUUUAGCUUCUGGCAAGUGCGUGUGUUUGACAUUAGCACAAAUCUGUGCUAGCAUGGAGAUGUCACGUGAUGCUCUGCUCCAAAGACACACAGUGCUUCAUUCGGGACUGCAGGAAGAAUUACACACCAAGCUUAUGAGUUUAAGAACUUCAAGUCAUGUUGCACCAUAACUCACAAGCUUGAUAGUCGAUUCACUGGAAGAAAACAGAGACAAAAAGAGAAAAUUAUCCUGACCUCCUGUACCUCUGCAAAAUCAGUUUCACCUUUUUCUAUUUUUCAAGAGGUAUUUAGUUUUUAAAACAAACUUCCCUCUUUUCCCCCAUUGCUUCCUUUGGUGACCUUAGAAUCAUAGAAUCAUAGAAUUGCUCAGG